AGGGUUUGAUCAUGGCUCAGGAUGAACGCUGGCGGCAUGCUUUACACAUGCAAGUUGAACGAAUUAAAGUUUUCGAAUUUUAGUUAAGUAGCGAACGGGUGAGUAAAACGUAAGAAUCUAUUUUUAGGUGAGGAAUAACUAAUGGAAACGUUAGCUAAUACCUUACAAACUGAGAAGUGAAAAACUAAAAAUUGCCUAAAAGUGAGCUUGCGCCUGAUUAGCUUGUUGGUAAGAUAAUCGCUUACCAAAGCGCAGCGAUUCCAGUAGUUGAUCUAAGAGGAUAAUCAACCACACUGGGACUGGAGAUACGGCCCAGACCUCUACGGAGGGCAGCAGUGAGGAAUUUUCCGCAAUGGGCGAAAGCCUGACGGAGCAAUGCCGCCUGAAGGAUGAAGGCCUAUGGGUCGUAAACUUCUUUUUCUUAGGGAAGAAAUAAGACGGUAAUUAAGGAAUAAGCAUCGGCUAACUCCGUGCCCAGCAGCCGCGGUAAUACGGAGGAUGCAAGCGUUAUCCGGAAUUAUUGGGCGUAAAGGGUUUGUAGGCUACUUUUUAAGUCUACUGUUAAAGAAUAAGACUUAACCUUAGAAAAGCAGUAUGAAACUAAAAGGAUAGAGUUCAGUAGGGGUAGAGGGAAUUCUCGGUGUAGUAGUGAAAUGCGUAGAUAUCGAGAGGAACACCAAUAGCGAAAGCACUCUACUAGGCUGUAACUGACGCUAAGAAACGAAAGCUAGGGGAGCCAAUGGGAUUAGAUACUCCAGUAGUCCUAGCUGUAAACGAUGGGAUACUAAGUAUUGGAUAAUAAAAAAUUCAGUGCUGUAGCUAACGCCGUUAAGUAUCCCGCCUGGGGAGUAUGCCCGCAAGGGUGAAACUCAAAGGAAUUGACGGGGGCCCGCACAAGCGGUGGAGCAUGUGGUUUAAUUCGAUGCAACGCGAAAAACCUUACCAGGAUUUGACAUCCCAUAUAUUUUUUCUAGAAAUAGAAAAAUUGACGUGAAGACAGGUGGUGCAUGGCUGUCGUCAGCUCCGUGUCGUCGAGAUGUUGUGUUAAGUCCCGUAACAAGCGCAACCCUUUGUCUCUAGUUCCAUAUGUCUAAAGAAACUCGCCAAUAAUAAAUCGGAGCAAGGUGAGGAAUGACGUCAAGUCAGCCAUGCCCCUUAUAAUUCUGGGCGACACACAUGGCUACAAAUGGUGAAGACAAUGGGAAUUGCACAACUUGUGAAAGGAAGCUAACCUCGAAAACUUAAUCGAAGUUCGGAUUGUCGACUGAAACUCGUCGACAUGAAGCUGGAAUCGCUAGUAACCGCCGGUCAGCCACACGGCGGUGAAUACGUUCUCGGGCCUUGUACACACCGCCCGUCACGUUAGGGAAGCUGAUUACGCCCGAAGUCAUUAAUUUAACCUUUUGGAGAAAAAUGCCGAAGGCAGAGUGAGUAACUAGAACGAAGUCGUAACAAGGUAACC
rnacentral:rRNA from 1 species